AGGUUACUGCUAUCGGUGUUCGCCUAAGCCAUGCGAGUCAUAUGUUCUUCGUGAACAUGGCGUACUGCUCAGUAACACGUGGAUAACCUGCCCUUGGGUCCGGCAUAACCCCGGGAAACUGGGGAUAAUUCCGGAUAACGCACAUAUGCUGGAAUGCUUUAUGCGUCAAAUGGAUUCGUCCGCCCAAGGAUGGGUCUGCGGCCUAUCAGGUAGUAGUGGGUGUAAUGUACCUACUAGCCUACGACGGGUACGGGUUGUGAGAGCAAGAGCCCGGAGAUGGAUUCUGAGACAUGAAUCCAGGCCCUACGGGGCGCAGCAGGCGCGAAAACUUUACAAUGCGGGAAACCGUGAUAAGGGGACACCGAGUGCCAGCAUCCUAUGCUGGCUGUCCGGGUGUGUAAAAUACACCUGUCAGCAAGGGCCGGGCAAGACCGGUGCCAGCCGCCGCGGUAACACCGGCGGCCCGAGUGGUGAUCGUGAUUAUUGGGUCUAAAGGGUCCGUAGCCGGUUUGGUCAGUCCUCCGGGAAAUCUGACAGCUCAACUGUUAGGCUUUCGGAGGAUACUGCCAGACUUGGAACCGGGAGAGGUAAGAGGUACUACAGGGGUAGGAGUGAAAUCUUGUAAUCCCUGUGGGACCACCUGUGGCGAAAGCGUCUUACCAGAACGGGUUCGACGGUGAGGGACGAAAGCUGGGGGCACGAACCGGAUUAGAUACCCGGGUAGUCCCAGCCGUAAACGAUGCUCGCUAGGUGUCAGCAUGGCGCGACCGUGUCUGGUGCCGCAGGAAGCCGUGAAGCGAGCCACCUGGGAAGUACGCCGCAAGGCUGAA
rnacentral:rRNA from 1 species